AGCGAUUUAGAUCCAGCCCUAUCUGACGCCGCCAGCAGCACCACGAAGACACUUCCACGAGCACACCCAGCGGGGCGCCGAGGUGCCGCCCAAGAGGCUCCUUGGCGCCGGGGCCGCCUGACGUCAGUGGGACGGCCCUGGGCUUGGGCGCGCCACAGCCCCGCCCCUCGGGCGCCAGUCUCGGUCGCGGGCAUUGAGCGGCUGGAGUCUGGCGACUGCCCCACGCCCAGCCGUGGGUCGCUAGACGGCGGGCGCACCCGUCGUUCUGGACACGCUUAGUCGGCCCAGCGAGAGGGCGAAGGAGCCGCGGGCGCGUCCCCGCCAACCCUGCUCGCCCGCGCCGAGGCGGGCCACGUGACAGCCCGGGGCCCCGCGCCCCGCCGCGCCGCCUUACUUGGUGUACUCGCGCAGCCCCUUGGCGAACCACACGACGCUGCGGUACAGGGACAUGCCGGGAGCGCCCCACGCCUAGCCCCACCGCGCUCCCGGCGCGGCCUCCGCCCUGGUCCCGCCCCCCGGGAGUCGCCCGCCCUGACAUCAUCCCGGUUAUGUAAGAGCCGCGGCUUCCGGUUCCUUGCUCCACCGGUAAGGCAAGGGGUCUCGGGGCCGGCCGGUCGACUCCGCCCCAGCCUCAGAGGGUGGAGUGAGGGCGGACCGGCCCUGGUGGGGGCCGCAGUCGAGGUCCGCAGUCUCCUCGGGGUCGAAAUCGGGCAUCAGCGCCGUUUAGAGAACACCGUCCUGCUGGGCAUGGCCGGGAUGCGAAGAUGGCCCUGCAACGCACCUCCUAGAAUUUGGUUACCUAGAAAACCAUGUGGAAUAAAACGACGAGGCUUAUGAUAUUUAAAAGACUUCUGCAUCGAAUUGGUGUUAUCAUAAGGGUUAUUUUAAUAACUGGCAUUCUCUAAGUUUCUACACGUGUUGGGGGAUGCAGUGCCGUGCCACAUUUCCCGUCUCCAGCAAGCGCAGUCAGAUUGGCGACAUCGCAGGCAAGAGGCAGGGCUGGGGCUCCCACCCGAGAAGUAAUUGUCUCCAAAGUUGGACUUUUGCCACUGGUUCUGCGACUUCAUGCAAUGCCAGGGAGAGCCCCUUGAUUUCCCCCAAAUCCUCAUCAGCCUCUUUCCACCCAAGCCCAGAUGAACAGUGUGAGUAAAAAAGAGUGUGGUUGCUGCGUGAACCCAGAUCUCAGACUAGUCAUCCAGCCCCAUUAUGUAGGACUCAGACACCCCUGUCCACAUCUAACCUCCAGCCCUAACGCCACAUUAGAAAUGGGGGUCUUACUGCUGCUGUCACUCCUAGUCACCCUGUUAAAUUCUAUACCGGUUUACCCAAGUCGCCCAGAGACUGGGCCCCACUUACAUAAGCUGAAGAGACCAGCUGCUUUAAUAGCCUCAUUACCUAGGAUAUAGGAUCACUGUCCAACCUCACUCCACAGUGGGCAAGUUUUUACUUCAGAAUAACUUUUGAAAUAAAUUUCCCCGGAACAGCUCGCCCCUCUCAACAGGACUCUGAGGCUCCACUACGUUGCUGUUAUUCCUGACAGAGUGAUGAAAGGAAAUUUAAACAAGUGGCAUUUUGUAAAACCACCCCAGCCUGUGUGACUUUCAAUGCCUGUCCGAUUUGGCUGGGAAAAUAUUUUAGAUCCCCAGGGCUACAUACUGUUUUUUAUACCCUCCUCUUUGUGUCAGUGAUGGAAAAGGUGUCAAUCUGCUCUGAAUCUCUCUGAACACCUCAGGAAAUAGGCUUUUGGCUCGCAGAGAGGGGAUGAGAAAUAGUUUUGAACCACCAAGUCUCUUGGAGGGUGUCAGCAGCCCCUUGAAGUAAAAGUGUGGCUGCAAACCCAGCUCUCUGCAUUAGCCAGGUGAACCUGAGCAUGCUGCAUACACCCUCAGUCUUGGUUUCUUAAUAUGUAAAAUGGGAAUGAAUAUGCGCACCUCGUGGGGUGGUUGUGAUUAAAGGCAUUCAUUAUAAAGAGCUUAGUUUCAUACAAAGUGAUCAGAAGUGUUGGUUUCCCUCCUUAAGUUUUCUUCUCAUUCCUUUUUCCCCUGCGCUUACAGCCAUGCAGUGUACAUUCAAGAAAUUUCCAUGAGGGCAUGAGGUGUCCAGUGUUAGCCUCAAAUCAAGCAUCCACGAGGUAGUUAGUGUAUACAUUAUAUACAUUUAAAGAGGAGGUCUUAGGAAAAGCCAAACCCUGUCUCAAAAUGAGCUUCCACUCUCACCUGGAUGCCAAGUAACACACACACACAAACAAAGGGCAGUAUGGAGUUCACAAGGGAAUGUUCCCGUUUAACUGGAGUCAGCUGAGCUGGAUUCUAGUCCAAUUUCUGCCAGUUAUUCCCUGUGUGACCCAUGUGAUAAAAUGUAUAGAAGGCUUAAAGUGUGCCAAGCAUUGUGGAUUAUAGCACUUAAUUCUCACACUGAUCCAUAUGGUUACUCCUGCUAUUAUCCCCAUUUUACAGAUGAGCAAACUGAGAGAGGUUACAUAACUUGACUCAGGUCACAGUAAAUACAUGGUGGAGCCAGGCUUUGAGACCAGGUAGUAUGAUUCCAGAGCCCACACCUUCCCUGCUGCAUCAUACUAAAUGGGGGCAAGUCACUUAGCCUCUGGGCCUCAGUUUUUCUCAUCUGAACAGAAAGGGGGCCAGACUAGGCGCCACCCAGGGCUCCUUUCAGCUCCAACUUUCUAUACAUCUACUAAGAAAAUUACAUAUGGAUGCUAAAUAAGUUAGGCCCAGGGUGCUUUUAAGAGAAACGUCAAAGUGGAUAGGGUUGCUUCAUUUCCCAGGGGUGGAAAGCCACUAAAAUAUUUCUUCUGUGUUCCUGGUUCCAAUUUGCCACUCAAAAAGCCAAACAAAGAAAUCAUCCCCCAGAGUUCCAUUCCAAUUGAUUUAGAUCCCUGAGGCUAAUUUUGACCAAAAUGGAAGGAGAAGCAGAAGGUGUGGAAACCCAUGGCUUUCUGCACAACAGAUACACAUGAUGAGAAGUCUGUAUUCUCUUACACACAUAUACACACACACACACACACACAACCAGUGUUCAUAUCGCCUUCCACUGAAGCUCAUACCAGUUCCUCUAGCCAAGUUGUCAUGGCAACACCAGCUGCCAAUGAGAUCAUGGAAGACAAGGUCAUAAUGGCAAUGGUGCCUUAAUAUUUUACCUGGCAAAGCCACUUAGUUAUUAAGAUGAAUAACCAUAAGUCAUAAACUCAUAGGAAGCUAGGCACCAUUCAUGUACAUGUUUAGUGUACAAUUGGGGGUGGGGAAUGGAAAUGACAGCGAAGGGAAAGGAACAAAAAGGAAGAGAGGAUGAGGCAGAGAGCGGAGAAGAAGGUCUCUGAUGCUGAUCCUUAUUUUUCAGUGUGGACCAUGCACAGGUGCUGACCCUACCUGUACAUGGAUUAAGGAACUGGGCUCUUCCUAAUGACAAGAAGUGGGGGGCGGGUCAUGGGAUCCCAGCCUCAAUCACAAAAGCCUUAUCAGAAACCCAAGGCGACUGCUUUCUGGCAUUCACUCCUAGCAGAAGAGAGCAGCAGCACAGGGAAGAG
rnacentral:lncRNA from 10 species